CAUAUUUUUCUACAUAAAAAGCCUGCAUCUAUUGCACAUUACAGGUUCUACUAGCUGCACCAGAUCAGAUGUUGACCUUAUAAAGAUAAAUACAUCAAUAGAUUUACACCACCAAGCAAAUUACACAUCAAACUAGUUGCUGACUUAUCCACACGAGAAUUUGCACAACCUUGAAUAUGUUAAUCUUGUAGGUAUCAUUCCUGCUCUGGAGAAUAGAUCAUCUGACAUAAGAGCUUCAUCCUUGAAACAUGAAUUUACUGAUGGUUAUCCAAAGGAUACUGGCCGUGAAGUGUACAGUAAUGCCACAGUAACAAGCAUUAUGGAUAAUAUUAGUUGUAUUGCUACAAGUGUUAGUCCUACUACAAAUAUUAUGACUGCUUGACCUACAUUUGCUAUUAAUACUGCUACUACUACUACCCUUCCUCCUACUGCUGCUGCUGCUUCUACUACAAUUACUACUAAUGAUGAUGUUGAUUGUAGCAUUCUCAAUGGAAAUGAUAAUU